rnacentral:rRNA from 1 species
UGGGGAAUAUUGCACAAUGGGGGAAACCCUGAUGCAGCAACGCCGCGUGAAGGAUGAAGGUCUUCGGAUUGUAAACUUCUUUGAUGAGGGACGAAUAAUGACGGUACCUCAAAAACAAGCCACGGCUAACUACGUGACAGCAGCCGCGGUAAUACGUAGGUGGCAAGCGUUGUCCGGAUUUACUGGGUGUAAAGGGCGUGUAGGCGGGAGGUUAAGUCAGAGGUGAAAUUCCCAGGCUCAACUUGGGCG